AGCUUUGCACAGUGGCAGUAUCGUAGCCAAUGAGGUUUAUCCGAGGCACGAUUAUUGCUAAUUGAAAACUUUAAAAUGGGACAUUUAAUGUGAAUAAGAAUAGCAUUUUCAGUUAAAAAAUCUAAGAUCAAAUGACAGAGCUGUC
ensembl:snRNA U4 U4 spliceosomal RNA